AGCUCAAUGAUUUCAACCAGUCGCUCUGGUUAUAUACGCUAUUCUGAUUGGAGUUGUUGAAAAAAAAUAGUAUUUAUGAGAGCU